rnacentral:rRNA from 1 species
AGGACGAACGCUGGCGGCGUGCUUAACACAUGCAAGUCGAACGCCCCGCAAGGGGAGUGGCAGACGGGUGAGUAACGCGUGGGAAUCUACCCAGUUCUACGGAAUAACACAGGGAAACUUGUGCUAAUACCGUAUACGCCCUACGGGGGAAAGAUUUAUCGGGAUUGGAUGAGCCCGCGUUGGAUUAGCUAGUUGGUGGGGUAAUGGCCUACCAAGGCGACGAUCCAUAGCUGGUCUGAGAGGAUGAUCAGCCACACUGGGACUGAGACACGGCCCAGACUCCUACGGGAGGCAGCAGUGGGGAAUAUUGGACAAUGGGCGCAAGCCUGAUCCAGCCAUGCCGCGUGAGUGAUGAAGGCCUUAGGGUUGUAAAGCUCUUUCAGUGGGGAAGAUAAUGACGGUACCCACAGAAGAAGCCCCGGCUAACUUCGUGCCAGCAGCCGC